rnacentral:rRNA from 1 species
UACGUAGGGUGCAAGCGUUUGUCCGGAAUUAUUGGGCGUAAAGAGCUCGUAGGCGGUUUGUCGCGUCUGCUGUGAAAAUCCAGGGCUUAACCCUGGACCUGCAGUGGGUACGGGCAGACUGGAGUGCGGUAGGGGAGAUCGGAAUUCCUGGUGUAGCGGUGAAAUGCGCAGAUAUCAGGAGGAACACCGGUGGCGAAGGCGGAUCUCUGGGCCGUAACUGACGCUCAGGCGCGACAGCGUGGGGAUCAAACAGG